CGGUGCCGCCGACGCCGGCGCCUACGUGUGCGAGGUCCGGAACGCCGCGGGGCGGGCGCGCAGCCCCCCCGCCCGCCUCCACGUGCUCUACGGGCCGCAGGACGUGGAGCUGGUGCCGGAGCCGGGCCCGGCGGUGCCGGAGGCGACGGACGUGGCCCUGCGGUGCCGAGCGGCCGCCUGGCCCCGGCCCCACGCCUUCGAGUGGUUCCGCGACGGGCGACCCCUGGGCCGCCUCGCCCAGGACCUCUGGGUGCUGCGGGCCGCGAGGGCCCAGGCGUCCGGGCGCUACCGCUGCCGCGCCGCCAGCACCCUCGCCUCCGCCGACUCGCCCGACGUCACCAUCACCGUCUACUACUCGACCGCCACCAUCUUGCGGAAAACCUUCUUGGGCCUCGGCGUGGGGCUGGGCUCCCUCCUGCUGCUGGGCACCCUCGGGUGCUUCCUGCGCCG